GAGAGAGAGAGAGAGAGAGAGAGAGAGAGAGAGAGAGAGAGAGAGAGAGAGAAGCUUCUCGCUCCAGCACAAUCUCGGCAACAAAUUCUAACGGUUUGAAUUUCCUCAACGGGAAUAACCGUCACCGAUUCCUCGGGAAGAAGAAGAUGGCGACUCUGCAACUUCCGGGUUGCAGAGCUAUCGAUCGCUCUUCGCCUCCGCCGUUGAUCAACGACUCUUGCUCUUCCUCCGCGUUUUGGGGACGACACGUGGCUUUCAUCACCGCCCGUCGUUCCUCGACAGAGAAGCUCCGGUCCUACGGCGGAGCGUUUAGGAUCGUGGCGAAGUCGAGCGGUUCGACUGCGUCGUCGUUCAAGAUGAACUUGAACGAGUACAUGGUCACUCUCGACAAACCGCUCGGGAUUCGGUUCGCGCUCUCCGUCGACGGCAGAAUCUUCGUCCACGCCAUCAAGAAAGGGGGGAAUGCGGAGAAGUCCAGGAUAGUAAUGGUGGGCGACACAUUGAAAAAGGCCGGGGAUUUGUCCGCCGGCCGGCUCGUUGAGGCCACCGAUUUUGGUGAUACACAGAAGAUGCUGAAGGAGAAAACAGGAUCUGUUAGCCUGGUUCUUGAGAGACCCUUCUCUCCUUUUCCAAUUCAGCAACUGCUUCUUAUGAAUGAUCUCGAUAAUCUGUUCAACAGAGGUAGAGUUUCUUUUGCAACUUGGAACAAGGCUGUGCUGGCUUCAAGUUUGCAGUCAUCUCCGGGAACCGGUGGGAACUCUGGCUUUGUUACGUUCUCCUCGAAGUUUCUGAAACCACGAGGAUGGAAUUAUUUGAGUGACCAAAAUUGUCAUAUUCAAUCACAAAUGCAGAAGAAUACUCUUGCCCAACCCCUGAGCCAGCUUGCUUGUAUUUACGCUGAAGAGGAGUCCGGAGAUGGAGAAUGGACUCAUGGGAACUUCCCACUGGAUGAAUAUGUUAAGGCACUGGAUCGCUCUAAAGGCAAGCUAUACUAUAAUCACGCUCUUGGUAUGCGCUACAGUAAGAUUACUGAACAAAUAUAUGUUGGAUCAUGCAUACAAACAGAAGAUGAUGUGGCGGUGUUGGCGAAUGUGGCAGGAGUUACUGCUAUACUGAAUUUCCAAAGUGGAUUUGAGACAGAAAAUUGGGGAAUAAAUUCCAACGCAAUAAAUGAGUCAUGCCAAAAGUUCGAUAUUCUGAUGAUCAACUAUCCUAUAAGGGAUGGAGAUUCUUUUGAUUUGAGGAAGAAACUGCCAUUCUGUGUGGGGUUAUUAUUACGCUUAUUAAAGAAGAAUCAUCGUGUGUUUGUUACUUGUACAACUGGUUUUGAUCGGUCUCCUGCUUGUGUAAUAGCAUACCUACACUGGAUGACUGAUACUUCCCUUCACGCAGCUUAUAAUUUUGUCACCGGGUUGCAUUUAUGUAAGCCUGACAGACCGGCAAUUGCUUGGGCGACAUGGGAUCUUAUAGUCAUGGUGGAAAAUGGGAAACAUGAUGGACCUCCAACACAUGCUGUGACAUUUGUAUGGAAUGGACAAGAGGGGGAGGAUGUAACCUUAGUUGGAGAUUUCACUGCAAACUGGAAAGAACCAAUUCGGGCAACUCAUAAAGGUGGAACCCGAUGGGAAGCAGAAGUCAGACUUUCACAAGGAAAGUAUUACUACAAGUUCAUUGUUAAUGGGAAUUGGCGGCAUUCAACAUUGUCCCCAUCUGAAAGGGAUGGAAGUGGGAAUGUCAACAAUAUAAUCAUUAUUGGCGAUACUGCCAGCGUGAGACCUUCUGUUCAACACCCGCAAAAGGAUGUGAAUAUUGUGAAGGUGAUUGAGAGGCCAUUGACAGAAAACGAGCGCUUCAUGCUGGCAAAAGCUGCUCGUUGCAUUUCAUUCUCAAUAUGCCCGAUUAGACUAGCUCCAAAGUAGGUUGGCAAGUACACCAUACCGCGAUCUGACGAUUUUUCGAGGCUAGAACAUACAGAUCAUGCAAAUUAGUUUCUGCUGAGUCCCUAAAAUAAAGACAUUUUCAUAAAUGUAGCAUGAUGCAAUUCUUGAGAACUUGCACACUAUCCUUGGAAGGCUUAUGUACAAACAACCCACGUGAUGGAUGAAGAAAAAAGCCACAAUGGUUGGCGACGCCAAAAAGGCGGUAUUCUAAAAUAAUCACCCGAUGUUAAGUAGAUAAGUUAAGACAUGACGAUGCGUGAUAGGCUUUUCAUAACAAUAUGAUUUCAUUGCUUGAUUUACAAGUAUAUAUGUGAGAUACAAGGAGAUUACUUGCAAGGAAAAUAUUAUCCCA